rnacentral:rRNA from 1 species
GAACGGAGACUUACGAGUUCGGAAAGUAGCUUGCUACCGGAAGAACAUGUAAGUUUUAGUGGCGGACGGGUGAGUAACGCGUGAGCAAUCUGCCUUUAAGAGGGGGAUAACAACGGGAAACUGUUGCUAAUACCGCAUAAGAUGGUAUCUCGGCAUCGAGGAGCCAUAAAAGGAGCAAUCCGCUUAAAGAUGAGCUCGCGUCCGAUUAGAUAGUUGGUGAGGUAACGGCUCACCAAGUCUACGAUCGGUAGCCGAACUGAGAGGUUGAUCGGCCACAUUGGGACUGAGACACGGCCCAGACUCCUACGGGAGGCAGCAGUGGGGGAUAUUGCGCAAUGGAGGAAACUCUGACGCAGCAACGCCGCGUGAAGGAAGAAGGCCUUCGGGUUGUAAACUUUUGUCUUCAGGGACGAUAACGACGGUACCUGAAGAGGAAGCUCCGGCUAACUACGUGCCAGCAGCCGCGGUAAUACGUAGGGAGCGAGCGUUGUCCGGAAUUACUGGGUGUAAAGGGUGCGUAGGCGGGAGAUAAAGUCAGAUGUGAAAUACCGAGGCUUAACUUCGGGGCUGCAUUUGAAACUUAUCUUCUUGAGUGAAGUAGAGGCAAGCGGAAUUCCCAGUGUAGCGGUGAAAUGCGUAGAUAUUGGGAGGAACACCAGUGGCGAAGGCGGCUUGCUGGGCUUUAACUGACGCUGAGGCACGAAAGCAUGGGUAGCAAACAGGAUUAGAUACCCUGGUAGUCCAUGCUGUAAACGAUGGAUACUAGGUGUGGGAGGUAUUGACCCCUUCCGUGCCGGAGUAAACACAAUAAGUAUCCCACCUGGGGAGUACGACCGCAAGGUUGAAACUCAAAGGAAUUGACGGGGGCCCGCACAAGCAGUGGAGUAUGUGGUUUAAUUCGAAGCAACGCGAAGAACCUUACCAGGUCUUGACAUCCAACUAACGAAGUAGAGAUACAUUAGGUGCCCUUCGGGGAAAGUUGAGACAGGUGGUGCAUGGUUGUCGUCAGCUCGUGUCGUGAGAUGUUGGGUUAAGUCCCGCAACGAGCGCAACCCUUACGGUUAGUUGCUACGCAAGAGCACUCUAGCCGGACUGCCGUUGAUAAAACGGAGGAAGGUGGGGACGACGUCAAAUCAUCAUGCCCUUUAUGACCUGGGCUACACACGUACUACAAUGGCGCAAAACAGAGGGAAGCAAAAUAGCGAUAUGGAGCAAAUCCCUAAAAGGCGUCUCAGUUCAGAUUGCAGGCUGCAACUCGCCUGCAUGAAGUCGGAAUUGCUAGUAAUCGCAGAUCAGCAUGCUGCGGUGAAUACGUUCCCGGGCC